AGAAAUUUUGGACUUAAAAAAACUUCUUCAAGAAUUUCAUCUACUUUUAUUCUCCAAAAACUGCAUCUGAUAGAAGGGUAAUGGGGAGAAAGCAUGCUACACACACUCUCAAAAGCACUCCAAAAAACAGAGAGAGCAGCUUGCACCAAAACUAUAUCAGCUUGGACCACCAAGACUCACCAGGCCACCAAUCUGGCACGGCUAUCCUCACCAAAGUCAGCUUUUUCAACUCCUUUAGCUGCCAUCCUCAUCCGCCAUUGCGGCCUCAUCGACGGUGGCGGUGAUCAUUGUGGACCUCCAAAGUUGAAUUUUUAGGAAGACCUCAUGAACCCAUCUUAAUGGAAACAAGAGCAUUUGGUGAUUGUUUCUUUAACAAGCUGGGGUUUACUUUUUUAUGGAGGUUAUAAGUAUUUUACUUGGAAGAGAAAGAAGAAAAUGUAAUAAUUUUUUAAAACCUUUUUUACUAAUUGACCAUUCAUUUUGUUGGAUAUCCAAUGCAUGUUUGCUUUUAAUUAAAAAAAAACCCUAAGUAUACACAUUUGCUCAGUUGUUAUGUGGUUGAUCCUUGUCUAUGGUGUGACUGUACAAAUAGACUCUUUAGAAAGAAAAAAUGCUAUUGUAAUGAAGAGUGUAACUUUUUAUGUUGUUUUAGAUUAAGAUAGAAAAAUGCUAAUGCUAUUGUUCA